UACGUAGGGUGCGAGCGUUAAUCGGAAUUACUGGGCGUAAAGUGUGCGCAGGCGGCCGAGCAAGUCGAGUGUGAAAGCCCCGAGCUUAACUUGGGAACUGCGCUCGAAACUACUUGGCUAGAGUGUGGCAGAGGGAGGUGGAAUUCCACGUGUAGCGGUGAAAUGCGUAGAGAUGUGGAGGAACACCGAUGGCGAAGGCAGCCUCCUGGGCCAACACUGACGCUCAUGCACGAAAGCGUGG
rnacentral:rRNA from 1 species